UACGAAGGGUGCAAAACGUUUGCUCGGAAUUAUUGGGCGUAAAGCGCACGUAGGCGGCUUAGCAAGUCGGAAGUGAAAGCCCUCGGCUCAACCAAGGAAGUGCUUUCGAAACUGCUGAGCUUGAGUAGUUAAGAGGAUCGCGGAAUUCCCGGUGUAGAGGUGAAAUUCGUAGAUAUCGGGAGGAACACCAGUGGCGAAGGCGGCGAUCUGGGAACAUACUGACGCUGAGGUGCGAAAGUGUGGGGAGCGAACGAGG
rnacentral:rRNA from 1 species